GAUGAACGCUGGCGGCGUGCCUAAUACAUGCAAGUCGAGCGAACAGACGAGGAGCUUGCUCCUCUGACGUUAGCGGCGGACGGGUGAGUAACACGUGGAUAACCUACCUAUAAGACUGGGAUAACUUCGGGAAACCGGAGCUAAUACCGGAUAAUAUAUUGAACCGCAUGGUUCAAUAGUGAAAGACGGUUUUGCUGUCACUUAUAGAUGGAUCCGCGCCGCGUUAGCUAGUUGGUAAGGUAACGGCUUACCAAGGCAACGAUGCGUAGCCGACCUGAGAGGGUGAUCGGCCACACUGGAACUGAGACACGGUCCAGACUCCUACGGGAGGCAGCAGUAGGGAAUCUUCCGCAAUGGGCGAAAGCCUGACGGAGCAACGCCGCGUGAGUGAUGAAGUUCUUCGGAUCGUAAAACUCUGUUAUUAGGGAAGAACAAAUGUGUAAGUAACUAUGCACGUCUUGACGGUACCUAAUCAGAAAGCCACGGCUAACUACGUG
rnacentral:rRNA from 1 species